rnacentral:rRNA from 1 species
UACGUAGGGUGCAAGCGUUGUUCGGAAUUAUUGGGCGUAAAGCGCGUGUAGGCGGCUUGGCAAGUCAGAUGUGAAAGCCCAUGGCUCAACCAUGGAAGUGCGUCUGAAACUGCCGAGCUUGAGUACCGGAGAGGAUGGCGGAAUUCCGCAAGUAGAGGUGAAAUUCGUAGAUAUGCGGAGGAACACCGGUGGCGAAGGCGGCCAUCUGGACGGUCACUGACGCUGAGACGCGAAAGCGUGGGUAGCAAACAGG